rnacentral:rRNA from 1 species
ACUGUACUAAACUAACUAUAGUGGGGGAUAGUGAGGGGAUAAAGUUUUCUUAAGGAACUCGGCCAAAUCCUGGAUAUCCAUCAGGGUAUAUAUUUAGAAACAUGGGCCUCGACUGUUUACCAAAAACAUAGCUCUCAGCCAAUAUGUAAAUAGAAGUAUGGAGGGUGAGGCCUGCCCAAUGGUUGUAUCUGAAACGGUUGAUAAAAGUCGACUUCAUAAGGACAAUUGAAUGGCCGCGGUAACACUGACCGUGAUAAUGUAGCGUAAUCAAUAGCCAAUUAAUUGUUGGCCAGUAUGAAUGGCGUCACGAAGGCCCCACUGUCUUAAGAAAACUCCCAGUGAAAUUGAAUUCGUAGUGAAGAUGCUACGUCCAAUUUGUUAGACGAAAAGACCCCAUUGAGCUUUACUGGAGACUUACAUUGCUCGGAUCGAUUCCUGUUGGCCCGAUCCUCCGGGAGUCUAAUUUAAAUAGAUAGCUUAGAUUAUGUGGUAUCAACCUGUUUGGGUGAAUGAAACCCCACUUUUCUAUGUAAAAAGAGCUAACCCUUCCUCUCAAAGGGACAAUGUAAGUUGGACAGUUUGGUUGGGGCGACCACCUUUUAAAGAGUAACGAAGGUGUGCUUAAGGUACACAAAUUAAUAACAGUAGCCUGACUGCGAGGGGGAACGCUCCGAGCAGACACCUAAAGUAAAGAGAAUCAACUAUCUUACUAAUGGUGGGUUAUAGUGACCCGUUAAUUUAGAGUGGAAUAGUUAACGAUCAACGAAUAAAAGUUACCAUGGGGAUAACAGCGUAAUAUCGUUAGAGAGUUCACAUCGACGACGAUGUUUGCGACCUCGAUGUUGAA